GGGGAUUUAGCUCAGUGGUAGAGCGCUUGCCUAGCAAUCACAAGGCCCUGGGUUCGGUCCCCAGCUCCU
rfam:Rattus norvegicus chromosome 4, whole genome shotgun sequence.